CUUGUGGACUUUGUCCACUAUUUGCAUUUUGAGAUAAAUAAUGCUUUUGGCAGUGUAGGUAUGUACCUAAGAAAGACUUUCCAAUUGUACUUGCUUUGCUUUAUUACACUGUCUAGUCACGAGUUUGAUUUUUGCUGCCCUAUUAUUCUAGUUGCAUUAUAAUUCAUAAUAAUAUUGAAUUUGUUCUACUUCUAUUGAUUGAUACAUUCACUUAAAGGCAUACUUAUUUAGCAUUGUCUUCUUUGAUAUGAUAUUUGUCACUAACUUUGAUUAUUUUGUUUACAGAGAAUUGACCUACUCCACCAGAUUGAUACAUUCACAAGUCAUUCUACAAGAGUUUUAAAAGAUUUGUUGCAGACAUUGCAGAAAUUGAUUCGGUACAUAUGCAUUUUAUUUAUACUAGACUUGGAUUAGAUUUGAUCAUUUUAGGUAUAUACUCCAAUCUUCUCUAUAAAUGUCUCACAAUCUUGCACCCUAGAAGCUAGAAACGAUAGAUUUAUUUUAGUUUCGGAGAUAGAAAAGGUUUUGCAGGUCUCCAUGGUAGGAUGUGAUAGUAAAAGACACUCGACACUAUACGCCGGAAUCCCAUGAUACGCUGAUAAGUCUAGGGCAAAUCAAGCUACUCUUGAUAAGGUAUUUUAAUUAUUUCUCUAUUCUCAAUAUAUUGCAUGUGUGAGUGUGUGUGUGUGUGUGUGUGUGUGUGUGUGUGUGUGUGUGUGUGUGUGUGUGUGUAUCAGAACUGAAACUCACAAUCUCAGAUCAUUUGUUGAUUGCAUUGUGAUUAGUUUUUUAAAUUUCUUUUAUAGCAUUGAGAUUUGUUGAUAGCAUUUGUUAACAAGGAAAGCUUUUAUGAUCCAGUAUUUAAUAGCUUUUCUGCAUUGUUAAAAUCAAUGGUUACACAGGGUAUAAUGGGUUUGUGCAUUGUCUAUGAAUCAAUCCUAAAGUGAUCUUGAGUGAGGAGGCUUGUAUAAAAGUAUUCAUUUUCUGUUGUCCAGAAGAAAUUAUGUAGGAGAAAAAUUAAUGAAUAUACGGUCUACUAAGUUCUUAUAAUUUCAGGUACGUGAGGUGAGUUCACGUCCGGAAAGAGCUGGAUUGGGAGCAGCAUGGCAAAUUCAAAUGUUGGCAGUGGGUAUGUUUAUGGAGCUGUAAUAAAGAAGAGAUGCUUCUUUCAUAGGCUUUGCAUGAUUUAGUGCUAAGGAUUAGG
rnacentral:lncRNA from 1 species